rnacentral:lncRNA from 1 species
CUGAGCUCAAUUUCAACUGGGGUGUAUCUGAGGGUUAGUCUUCAGAGAACUUGGAAUGAGGGCUUGGAAGCAAUGGAAUCCCAGAAGUAUGGAACACACACAUCACCCAGAUUCUGACUUCUAAUACCAGUCUCUAAAGAAAGGAACAAGACAUCCUGGCAGAUACUGUGGAUUCUAGGGCUGGGCAGGGCAUAUAGAAGAAGAGCCUGGCAUGUCUCAUAGUGCCAGAAUUGGACAUUUUCCCUACUAUGAAGCACAAGCAAGCAAAAUUGUGUUUUCAACAGGCAAUGUCUGUGCAUUGCCUCUUGUUGAGGGCACCCCAAAGUACGUUGAACCAGCAGAGGGAAGAUGUCAGGGAAAGGCCGUGUCCUGGUGGAGGAUGAGGUGGGUGACCCCAGAUGUCAGAGGACAGGAGGCAGAGCAGAUCCACCAAACCUGCUGAGAGGGACCACCCAUUCUGCCCUGCUGUCUCCUGCAGCCAGGGCCAGAUGGCAGAGGCUGUGCUUUCUUCCUCUGGAACAGAGCUGGGACCAGCGAGGUGAAGGGUCUCACUGAGGUCAUUCAACUACAAAAUGCCAGAGCAGGAGUGGAGGCCAAGUCCCCAGGCUCCAAUUCAUGACCUCAAGGUGAAAAGAUCUCCCGAGACAGAUAACAGUUCUCAUUUAAGCAAGAAUUAAAAAUAAAACCUCUCAGUGCUUUAAGACUGUGUUUCCACUAGGCAGUU